rnacentral:lncRNA from 1 species
CUCAGCUCUCUGGGGAGACUAGAAGACCAGCUGGAUUCUCACUGGGCUGUGGCUCCUGGAGGAAUGGACAAGAUCCUGGGAGCAUCACUUUUAAUUCUUGGCCUUCACCUCACCUGUGAGUUGUGGAGGAAAAGCCCCAGCUCAUGUGAUUAAUAUGGGGAGAUGGAAAAUUGGGACACAGACAAAUCUUGCAGGUAGGAGAUUUAUGAGGGAAAUAUAAAUUUGUUGGCCUAAUGACUUCUUGUCAUCUUUCCAAGCAGGGGUGAGUGGCCAACAGAAGGGAAAAAGUGACCAGCAGCAGGUGAAGCAAAGUCCUCAAUCUCUAACUGUCCAGGAAGGAGGGAUUUCAGUGCUUGACUGUGUUUAUGAGAACGGUGCAUUUGACUACUUCCCAUGGUACCAGCAAUUCCCAGGUAAAGGCCCAGCAUUAUUGGUAGCCAUCAGUUCAAUUAGCAUAAAAGAAGAAUUUGGAAGAUUCACAGUUUUCUUCAACAAAAGUGCUAAACAUAUCUCCUUGCACGUCACGGAUUCUCAACCUGGAGACUCAGCCACCUACUUCUGUGCAGCAGGAGCACAGUGCUCUCCAGUCACCUGCAGCUUGAUCUCAAACCUGCAGCUGAGGCCCCAGCAAAGCCCUGCUGCAGGGCUUAGACUGGCAGAAACACAGACUGGCUUUUAAUUGCACAAAUAGGUGAUGGAGUAAAUGUAUGGAUUCACUAGUGC